GGAGAGAUGGCUCAGCGGUUAAGAGCACUUGACUGAGGUUCCAGAGGUCCUGAGUUCAAUUCCCAGCAACCACA
rnacentral:tRNA from 1 species